rnacentral:rRNA from 1 species
CGCUGGCGGCGUGCCUACAUACCAUGCAAGUCGAGCGAACGGACCUAAGACGCUUGCCUCUCUACUGAAUGUUAGCGGCGGACGGGUGAGUAACACGUGGGUAACCUGCCCAUAAGACUGGGAUAACUCCGGGAAACCGGGGCUAAUACCGGAUAACAUUUUGAACCGCAUGGUUCGAAAUUGAAAGGCGGCUUCGGCUGUCACUUAUGGAUGGACCCGCGUCGCAUUAGCUAGUUGGUGAGGUAACGGCUCACCAAGGCAACGAUGCGUA